rnacentral:rRNA from 1 species
UGGGGAAUUUUGCACAAUGGGGGAAACCCUGAUGCAGCGACGCCGCGUGAUUUAGAAGGCCUUCGGGUUGUAAAAAUCUUUUUUAUGGGAUGAAAAUGACAGUAGCAUAAGAAUAAGGUCCGGCUAAAUACGUGCCAGCAGCCGCGGUAAUACGUAUGGACCGAGCGUUGUCCGGAAUCAUUGGGCGUAAAGGGUACGUAGGCGGCCCAGUAAGUUAGAAGUGAAAUAAUAUAGCUCAACUAUAUAAAGCUUUUAAAACUGCUAGGCUUGAGAGAUGGAAGGGAAAGGGGAAUUCCUAGUGUAGCGGUGAAAUGCGCAGAUAUUAGGAAGAAUACCGGUGGCGAAGGCGACUUUCUGGUCAUCAUCUGACGCUGAGGUACGAAAGCGUGGGUAGCAAACAGG